AUCGCUUCUCGGCCUUUUGGCUCAGAUCAAGUGUAGUAUCUGUUCUUAUCAGUUUAAUAUCUGAUUUUUAUUCCAUCGGGGGACUACAUAUUAAAUGGAUUUUUCGAACAGGGAGUCGGAAAUGGGGCUUGCUCCGUCCGCUCCACGCAUCCACCCGGUAUUGCAGUACCUCCGGGAAUGGUGCAACACUU
rnacentral:snRNA from 8 species